UAGGCAUCAAAAUGCCAAACCAUGUAUAUGCUUGAGUGUUAUUCUUUGCUCUUCCAUUCUAGUUUUUCAUGUUUUUAACAUGGUAUCAGAGCCAGGUUCCGAUCCUGUGACCUGUGGGUUGAGAGCUCUGGUAGUCAUUGAGAGGGAGUCUUUCUUGCUGUUUGCCGCAAAAUCACCCAGGAAGCACAAUCAGAUUUCAUCGUUACGAAGUGCUAUGGGAGGAGGUAUUUAAAACAGGGACUGCAAAAUACAGUCCCAUUGCUCUUUUGCAGCGACGCUGAUUUCUCUAGCGACUUAAACUGUCAGACGAGAGGAAAGCCGAGAAGCGCUCGCAGAGGGGAAUCGAAAGAGGGCCCGGAAGAGGCAAUGCGAUCCCAGUGAUCCUCUUCUUGCUGUUUCGCGUGCGGGAAAAGCUUCGUCCUCUCCCCACGUAGAGCGUGUCCUGUUGCUGGCGUCGCACCGCUAUCCUAUGCUCCUUGCUCAUUUCUUCCGGCGAUCAUCCAAUCAGGGACUCGACAAAAGGGCACCAAAAAAGGAGAACAUCACUCUCCUUUGCCCUCUGUUUUUUGGGCACCGAAGAGGAGCACAUCGCCCUCUUGUGUUUUUUGCAGCAUUCACCUUCCGUGCAAGAAUCAUCUCUUGUUGGAGCGCUCGCUGUCUGUUGGAUUGCAUUCAUUCAGUGGAAGCGUUCCUUCUUGCUGGGCAGGGCCUUUUUAACAUAUUACGGAUGGUCGGUAUUCAAACUGCUACUGCUCAAGGGGACGAGAAUUCUAAAGGAUCCAAAUCCUCGGAUCAAUAUGGAAACACUUUAAAGAUCACAUCCACCCUCCUCAACGGAACAAACUAUUUAAGUUGGGCGAAGGCUGCACGUUUAUUUCUCAGUAGAAGAUCUAAAGCGGGAUACAUCAACGGAAAAAUUAAGCAGCAUGCACCUAAUGAUCCCAGGUAUGAGGAAUGAGAAUCUGAGAAUGAUAUGGUCAUGUCUUCGUUAAUAAAUUCAAUGGAUCCGUCUAUAGCAAAUAUGUUCAUGUAUCAAGAUACGGCUCAAAGCAUUUGGGAGUCGCUAAAAGAACUUUACAACGAGCAAAAUAAUCUUGCUCGAAUAUAUCAAAUUCAAUGUGAGAUUGCUAAUCUCAUGGUGGGAAACAAAGAUGUUCAACUUUAUAUUGGACGUAUUCGCGGUCUCUUUGAUGAACUUCUUCAAUAUCGACUAGCCACAUCGGAUCCCGAUAUCUUCACACAACGGUUUGAAGAAGAUAAAAUUUUCAAAGUGCUGGCUGGUCUCAGUGACGACUAUGAAAACUUGCGCAGUCAAAUUUUGAAUUCUUCUCCUCUUCCAACAUUCAACACCGUCUGCCAAAUCAUUCAAAUAGAGGUAUCUAAGAGAAAAGUUAUGAACUCAUCCACCAAAGAUGAAGUUGCAGGAGAAAACUCUGAAAAAAUGGAGUUAUGAACUCAUCCACCAAAGAUGAAGUUGCAGGAGAAAACUCUGAAAAAAUGGUGUAUAUUUCUCACACUCAAGAAGGACAAAGACGUGGACCAAACAAUAUGAGAUCACGUAGCAAGAUGAAGUGCACCCUUUGCAGAAAGAUUGGGCACACCCGAGAACGAUUCUGGGAGAUCACAGGGAGGCCUGAGAAGGAAAAACCAACCUCGACCUCAAAGGAGACAAAUUUGGCAUGCACGUCUUCAAAGGCGAUCAAUGUGGCAAAUUUUGUUACAAAGGACGAUCUGGAAAAUUUUUUUCGAAAAUUCUCCAAGGCCAACCUCGUCUCCUCUCAACCAGUCGGAGAAAGUUCUGAAGGACGUGACAUUUCAGGAACUGAACUCGAAGAAAGUGAUUGGUAAAGGACAUCUCCAAAGAGAACUGUAUGUUCUAGAUGAUGACUGUGUUGGUCUUCUCACCAGAAGCCGACGAAACUCUGAGUACCAGAUAUGACACGCUAGAUUGGGGCACAUUUUAGACCGGAGUAUCAAAAAACUUAUUCCUCAACUUACUACAGAAGAUUAGGCAGUGAGUUUUCCAAGUUUACAAGACUUCCGUUUCAAUCGUCUGUAGAAAAAUCUGUUGAAGUUUUCGAUCUCGUACACUCUAAUGUAUGAGGACCCGCUCCUAAAAUCUCUCAUACCGAAUAUAGAUAUUAUGUCUCUUUUAUCGAUGAUAUG